rnacentral:rRNA from 1 species
GGUUUCUUGGUGAAUAUAAGAAAUUUAACCUGCCCACUGAUUUUAAUUGAAGGGCCGCAGUAUUUUGACUGUGCAAAGGUAGCAUAAUCAUUAGUCUUUUAAUUGAGGGCUGGCAUGAAUGGUUGAACGAGGUAGGAACUGUUUUAUAUUAAGAGUUUGAAUUUGUAUUUUAAGUAAAAAGACUUAAAUGUAAUUAAGGGACGAGAAGACCCUAUAGAGUUUAAUAUGUGUAAUUUUAACUGAGUUAAUUAUAGAAAUUUUUGGUUAUUAGAAAGCUUAUUUGGUUGGGGUGACAGAAGGAUAAUUAAAACUCUUUCUUGAUUUAAAUAUUAAUAAAUAGUUAUUUGAUCCAUAACUAAUGAUGAAAGAACAAAUUACCUUAGGGAUAACAGCAUAAUUCUUUUUGAGAGUUCUUAUCGAGAAGAGAGAUUAUGACCUCGAUGUUGGAUUAAGAUAAAUUUUGGGUGUAGAUGUUCAAAUAUUAGGUCUGUUCGACCUAUAAAAUCUUACA